UGAUCGCUGAGGGUAUUUGUCCCAGUUUU
rnacentral:piRNA from 1 species